CCUACGGGCGGCAGCAGUGAGGAAUAUUGGCCAAUGGACGAGAGUCUGAACCAGCCAAGUAGCGUGAAGGAUGACUGCCCUAUGGGUUGUAAACUUCUUUUAUAUGGGAAUAAAAUGUUCCACGUGUGGGAUUUUGUAUGUACCAUAUGAAUAAGGAUCGGCUAACUCCGUGCCAGCAGCCGCGGUAAUACGGAGGAUCCGAGCGUUAUCCGGAUUUAUUGGGUUUAAGGGGAGCGUAGGUGGAUUGUUAAGUCAGUUGUGAAAGUUUGCGGCUCAACCGUAAAAUUGCAGUUGAAACUGGCAGUCUUGAGUACAGUAGAGGUGGGCGGAAUUCGUGGUGUAGCGGUGAAAUGCUUAGAUAUCACGAAGAACUCCGAUUGCGAAGGCAGUUCACUGGACUGCAACUGACACUGAGGCACGAAAGUGUGGGUAUCAAACAGGAUUAGAUACCCUUGUAGUC
rnacentral:rRNA from 1 species